rnacentral:tRNA from 1 species
UAGAAGAAAGUAUAGGGGAAGUACAGGGAGUUUUGGUCUCUCAGGAGUGGGUUCAAUUCCCAUUUUUCUAA